ACUGGCUGCUCUGAAAAGCCAUCUUUGCAUUGUUCCUCGUCCGCCUCCUUGCUCGCCGCAGCCGCCUCCGCCGCGCGCCUCCUCCGCCGCCGCGGUCUCCGGCAGCUUUAUCGCCAGAGUCCCUGAACUCUCGCUUUCUUUUUAAUCCCCUGCAUCGGAUCACCGGCGUGCCCCACCAUGUCAGACGCAGCCGUAGACACCAGCUCCGAAAUCACCACCAAGGACUUAAAGGAGAAGAAGGAAGUUGUGGAAGAGGCGGAAAAUGGAAGAGACGUCCCUGCUAACGGGAAUGCUGUGAGUGUCCGCCUUGCUCCUGAGCCCUGGCAGCUACCGCCCCACAGUUUUUCCUGUUCUACUUUAAACAUAUAUAGCUUUGCACAGUGGCAGUAUCGUUAGCCAAUGAGCUUUACCCGAGGCGCGAUUAUUGCUAGUUAAAUAUUUAUAAAAACUUUUCGAGCAGCGCCUGAACAAGAAUAGGUUCAGAGGAGACAUCGGUAGUCUGAGUUUGGGCUUGGCCCAGGGUGGGUAAAAGCCCUUGCCCUGGGGCAGUUAAUGUGCAGGUUUCACGUUGGAGCCUGGAGGGUGUUGACUGGAGAAGGGCCUUUGGGGUGGGCUUGGCUGGGCUGUAGAUGGAGCUGGCAGCCUCUGGUGGGAGGCCGGGCGUCAGGAGCAACGCUUUGUCCAGCCUUGGGCCAGCUGGUAGUGACAUGGCCUGUUUUCUGUCGAGGAGAAUGAGGAAAAUGGGGAGCAGGAGGCUGACAAUGAGGUAGAUGAAGAAGAGGAAGAAGGUGGGGAGGAAGAGGAGGAGGAAGAAGAAGGUGAUGGCGAGGAAGAGGAUGGAGAUGAAGAUGAGGAAGCUGAGUCAGCUACGGGCAAACGGGCAGCUGAAGAUGAUGAGGAUGACGAUGUCGAUACCAAGAAGCAGAAGACCGACGAGGAUGACUAGACAGCAAAAAAGGAAAAGUUAAACUAAAAAAAAAAGGCCGCCGUGACCUAUUCACCCUCCACUUCCCGUCUCAGAAUCUAAACGUGGUCACCUUCGAGUAGAGAGGCCCGCCCGCCCACCGUGGGCAGUGCCACCCGCAGAUGACACGCGCUCUCCACCACCCAACCCAAACCAUGAGAAUUUGCAACAGGGGAGGAAAAAAGAACCAAAACUUCCAAGGCCCUGCUUUUUUUCUUAAAAGUACUUUAAAAAGGAAAUUUGUUUGUAUUUUUUAUUUACAUUUUAUAUUUUUGUACAUAUUGUUAGGGUCAGCCAUUUUUAAUGAUCUCGGAUGACCAAACCAGCCUUCGGAGCGUUCUCUGUCCUACUUCUGACUUUACUUGUGGUGUGACCAUGUUCAUUAUAAUCUCAAAGGAGAAAAAAAACCUUGUAAAAAAAGCAAAAAUGACAACAGAAAAACAAUCUUAUUCCGAGCAUUCCAGUAACUUUUUUGUGUAUGUACUUAGCUGUACUAUAAGUAGUUGGUUUGUAUGAGAUGGUUAAAAAGGCCAAAGAUAAAAGGUUUCUUUUUUUUCCUUUUUUGUCUAUGAAGUUGCUGUUUAUUUUUUUUGGCCUGUUUGAUGUAUGUGUGAAACAAUGUUGUCCAACAAUAA
rnacentral:sRNA from 1 species